UACGUAGGGUGCGAGCGUUGUCCGGAAUUAUUGGGCGUAAAGAGCUUGUAGGCGGUUUGUCGCGUCUGCUGUGAAAAUCCGGGGCUCAACCCCGGACUUGCAGUGGGUACGGGCAGACUAGAGUGUGGUAGGGGAGACUGGAAUUCCUGGUGUAGCGGUGAAAUGCGCAGAUAUCAGGAGGAACACCGAUGGCGAAGGCAGAUCUCUGGGCCAUUACUGACGCUGAGGAGCGAAAGCGUGGGGGAGCGAACAGG
rnacentral:rRNA from 1 species